rnacentral:rRNA from 1 species
GACGAACGGCUGGCGGCGUGGAUUAGGCAUGCAAGUCGAACGGUAGGAUACCUUCGGGGUAUCUGAGAGUGGCGAACGGGUGAGUAACACGUAGGUGAUCUACCCUCAAGAUUGGGACAACCCAGGGAAACUUGGGCUAAUACCGGAUGAAAGCAGCAGUGAUGUUGUUUGAAAGGUGGCGUAAGCUGCCGUUUGGGGAUGAGCCUGCGCUCUAUUAGUUAGUUGGCGGGGUAAAGGCCCACCAAGGCGAUGAUAGAUAGGCGGCCUUAACGGGUGGUCGCCCACACUGGGAUUGAGAUACGGCCCAGACUCCUACGGGAGGCAGCAGUCGAGAAUAGUCUACAAUGGCCGAAAGGCUGAUAGUGCGACGCCGCGUGAACGAAGAAGCCCUUCGGGGUGUAAAGUUCUUUUAUAUGUGAGCAGUGCUUUCUAUGUGAACAGCAUGGGGAGAGAGAUAUUAGCAUAUGAAUAAGCAACGGCUAACUCCGUG